CAGUUGAAAGAUAUCUUGUGUACUUAACAUCAGCUGUGAAGGAACGAGAGCAAUAUUACAAUGCAGUAAAUGUAUCGUCGUUUACCAGAGCUGAAGAGUUCAUUUCUGCGCAAUUUCCGGUAUCAGGAGCCACCAUUGACCUUGCUCGUUUGCUGAUUGAUCAGGAGUCUCCAUUCCUGAUCUCACUGAACCCUUUAUCAGAAAUUAACGAGGUAAAAGAUUGAGUUGAGAACACUAUCAAGAAGAUUGAUUUGGCCCCAUAUGAAAUCUCAAAGAGUACACAGCAAAGGAUUACACACAACAUUCGAAUAACAGACAUUAAAAUCAAAAGGAAACACGAUGAAUGUCAUGAAGUGCAGGUAUUUGAAUGUCUUGAUUGGAGUUUAUCUGAGUUUCUACCAGCACAAACCUCUUCAAUAAUAAAUUUGAUA